rnacentral:rRNA from 1 species
GACGUAGGGCGCGAGCGUUGUCCGGAAUUAUUGGGCGUAAAGAGCUCGUAGGCGGUGUGUCGCGUCGGCCGUGAAAACCUGCAGCUUAACUGUGGGCUUGCGGUCGAUACGGGCAUCACUGGAGUUCGGCAGGGGAGACUGGAAUUCCUGGUGUAGCGGUGAGAUGCGCAGAUAUCUGGAGGAACACCGGUGGCGAAGGCGGCAUCCUGGACCGAUACUGACGCUGAGGAGCGAAAGCCAGGGGAGCAAACGGG